UGCAGUCGCGCGACGUGGUCGCAAGGCCAUGUAGCGGCAAACGGGUGAGUAACGCGUGAGUAAUUUGCCUCUUAGCCGAACAUAGCUCCGUGAAAACGGAGGUAAUAUUCGAUGUGAUCGCGAUGGUGCAUACUGUUGUGAUCAAAGGCGGGGACCGCAAGGCCUGCCGCUAAGAGAUGAGCUCGCGUCCUAUCAGCUUGUUGGCGGGGUAAUGGCCCACCAAGGCUUAUGACGGGUAGCUGGUCUGAGAGGAUGGUCAGCCACACUGGGACUGAGACACUGCCCAGACUCCUACGGGAGGCUGCAGUCGAGAAUACUUAGCAAUGGACGAAAGUCUGACUACGCGACGCCGCGUGAGGGAUGAAGGUCUUCGGAUCGUAAACCUCUUUUGGCAGGAAAGAAACCUUGCAGGUGAACAAUCUGCAAGCUGACGGUACCUGCCGAAUAAGCCACGGCCAACUCCGUGCCAGCAGCCGCGGUAAUACGGAGGUGGCAAGCGUUACUCGGAAUCAUUGGGUGUAAAGGGCAAGUAGGUGGGCCGAUAAGUGAGGGGUGAAAUCCUGCGACUCAAUCGCAGAACUGCCUUUCAAACUGUCGGUCUUGAGGGUGGAAGAGGAAAAUGGAAUUCCCGGUGUAAGGGUGAAAUCUGUAGAUAUCGAGAAGAACACCAGCGGCGAAGGCGAUUUUCUGGUCCACUCCUGACACUGAAUUGCGAAAGCUAGGGGAGCAAACAGAAUUAGAUACUCUGGUAGUCCUAGCCGUAAACGAUGAGCACUAGUGUCGGUCCCUCUGGGGUCGGUGCCGCAGCCAACGCAUAAAGUGCUCCACCUGGGGACUACGGUCGCAAGGUAAAACUCAAAGGAAUUGACGGGGGCCCGCACAAGCGGUGGAAC
rnacentral:rRNA from 1 species